rnacentral:lncRNA from 1 species
GAAACACAAUAAUCAUUUGAGAUGCUAUUUAGCCUGGAUUACCUGAAGCUGAGUAAUUUAUAAAGAAAAGAAGUUCAAUUGGCUCACAGUUCUGCAGGCUGUACAGGAAGCAUGGCACUGACAUCUUCUCAGCUUCUGGUGAGGGCCUCAGGAAGUUUACAAUCAUGGUGGAAGGCAAAGGGGGAGCAAGCGUCUCAUGUGGCAAGAGGGAACAAACAGGAGACAGGAGGUGCCACACACUUUUAAACAACAGGAUCUCACAAGAGCUUACUCUUACAAGGACAGCACCAAGAAUAUGAGGAAUCUGCCCGCAUGACCCAAACACUUCCCUCCAGGCCCCACCUCCAACACUGGGGAUUACAUCUCAACACUGGAUUUGGAGGGGACAUCCAAACUAUAUCAAGGCUGUACAAGAAGCUUGGUGCCAGCAUUUGCUUCUACGCAGAGCCUCAGGCUGCUUCUACUCACAGUAAAAGGCAAAAGGGCAUGCAAAGAUCAUGUGGCAAGAGAAGAAGUGAGGGAUGGGGGAUGCCAUGCUCUUUUUAACAACCAGCUCUCAUGGGAACCAAGAGGGACAACUCACUCAUUAUAGCACCAAGCCUGUAUCCCUCCCAUUAUGCCCUACCUCCAACAUCGAGGAUCAAAUUUCAACAUGAGGUUUGGAGGCUCAAAUAUCCAAACAAUGGCAUUAUGUCAGGAUCAUAAAGCUAAUGUUUGUGAAACCAGGAUCUGAACCCAAGCUAUUGCUUCUAGAACCUGUACUCUUAAGCCCUUGCUUAUACUGCAUUUGAAAUUAUGCUUCAUUGUAUAAAAAGUCCUUUUCACCUCAAGCUUAUAGAGAAGUCACCUUGUUCUUAAAAAGUCCUUUACACUUCAAGUUCAUAAAGCUCAGGCACAUAUAUUUUCUUCCAGUACGUUCAUUAUUAUUUUUCUUGGUUUUCCUUUAAAUCUUUGAAUCAUCUGGAUUUUAUUUUGGAAUGAGAAAUGAAGUAGAAAUUUAUUUUUGUUUCUUUUCAGAAUGGCUGGUCAAUUGUCCUAACAUCAUUUAAUGAAUAGUAUUUAUUUCCCCUUUGCUUUGAAAUACUACUUUAUCAUAUACUAAAUUAUAAAGUAAUCUUUUAUUAUCAUUUUUGAAUGACUGCAUUCCAGUUGUGGAAGAUAUUACUCAAAGUCUGUUGUGAUUAUCUAACUUAAGUGUUGAUAUGAAGAAAGGAAAGUAGGUUUCAGCCUGAUUUAAGAAUUUUCCUCCUCUCCCUCUCCCUCUCCCUCUCCCUCUCCCUCCCCCUCCCCCUGCCCCUCCCUGUCUCCCUCUCUCUCUCCCUCUCUUUCUACGUCUCCCUCUCUUGCCGAGCCUGGACUGUACUGCCAUGAUCUCGGCUCACUGCAACCUCUCUGCCUCAGGCUCCCAUGAUUCUCCUGCCUCGGCCUGCUGAGUGCCUGGGAUUCCAGGCACGCACCACCACUUCUGACUGAUUUUUGUAUUUUUGGUGGAGACGGGGUUUCACUGUGUUGACCGGGCUGGUCUCCAGCUCCUGGCCUCGGGUGAUCUGCCCCCCUCAGCCUCCCGAGGUGCUGGGAUUGCAGACGGAGUCUCGCUCACUCAACGCUCAAUGUUGUCCAGGCUGGAGUGCAGUGGUGUGAUCUCAGCUCGCUACAACCUCCACCUCCCAGCCGCCUGCCUUGGCAUCCCAAAGUGCUAAGAUUAUAGCCUCUGCCUGCCCGCCACCCCGUCUAGGAAGUGAGCAGCGUCUCUGCCUGACCGCCCAUCGUCUGGGAUAUGAGGAGCCCCUCUGCCCAGCUGCCCCGUCUAGGAAGUGAGGAGCGCCUCUGCCCAGCCGCCAACCCGUCUAGGAAGUGAGGAGCGUCUCUGCCUGGCCACCCAUCAUCUGGGAUGUGAGGAGCGCCUCUGCCCGGCCGCCCUGUCUGGGAAGUGAGGAGUGCCUCUGCCCAGCUGCCCCAAAUGGGAAGUGAGGACCGCCUCUGCCUGGCCGCCCUGUCUGGGAAGUGAGGAGCGCCUCUGCCCGGCCGCCCCAUCUGGGAUGUGAGGAGCGCCUCUGCCCGGCCGCCACCCCGCCUGGGAGGCAAGGAGCGCCUCUGACUGGCAGCCCCAUCUGGCAACUGAGGAGCGCCUCUGCCCGGCCGCCACCCCAUCUGGGAAGUGGGGAGCGCCUCUGCCCGGCCGCCCCAUCUGGGAUGUGAGGAGCGCCUCUGCCCGGCCGCCCCGUCUGGGAAGUGAGGAGCGCCUCUGCCCGGCCACCCUGUCUGGGAUGUGGGGAGCGCCUCUGCCCAGCCGCCACCCCGUCUAGGAAGUGGGGAGCACCUCUGCCCGGCCGCCCUGUCUGGAAAGUGAGGAGCACCUCUUCCCAGCCGCCACCCUGUCUGGGAUGUGAGGAGCGCCUCUGCCCGGCCGCCCCGUCUGAGAGGUGAGGAGCGCCUCUGCCCGGCAGCUGCCCCGUCUGGAAAGUGAGGAGCAUCUCUGCCCGGCAGCCCCGUCUGGGAAGUGGGGAGCGCCUCUGCCCAGCCGCCCCAUCUGGGAGGUGGGGAGCACCUCUGCCCGGCCGCCCCAUCUGGGAGGUGGGGAGCACCUCUGCCCGGCCGCCCAUCAUCUGGGAAGUGAGGAGCGCCUCUGCCUGGCCGCCCAUCAUCUGUGAUGUGAGGAGCACCUCUGCCCGGCCGCCCCGUCUGGGAAGUGGGGAGCGCCUCUGCCCGGCUGCCCAUCGUCUGGGAAGUGAGGAGCGCCUGUGCCCGGCCACCCAUCGUCUGUGAUGUGAGGAGCGCCUCUGCCUGGCUGCCCCAUCUGGGAGGUAAGGAGCGCCUCUGCCCGGCCGCCCCGUCUGGGAGGUGAGGAGUGUCUCUGCCCGCCCGCCCAUCAUCUGGGAAGUGAGGAGCGCCUCUGCCCGGCCGCCCAUCGUCUGGGAUGUGAGGAGCGCCUCUGGCUGGCCGCCAUUCGUCUGGGAGGUGAGAAGCGCCUCUGCCCAGCCGCCCCAUCUGGGAAGUGAGGAGCACCUCUGCCCAGCCUCCCCGUCUGGGAGGUGAGGAGCACCUCUGCCCGGCCUCCCCGUCUGGGAGGUGAGGAGCGUCUCUGCCUGGCUGCCCCGUCUGGGAGGUGAGGAGCACCUCUGCCCGGCCGCCCCGUCUGGGAGGUGGGGAGCACCUCUGCCCGGCCGCCCAUCGUCUGGGAGGUGAGGAGCGCCUCUGCCCGGCCGCCCAUCAUCUGUGAUGUGAGGAGCACCUCUGCCGGGCCGCCCCGUCUGGGAAGUGGGGAACGCCUCUGCCCAGCUGCCCAUCGUCUGGGAAGUGAGGAGCGCCUGUGCCCGGCCACCCAUCAUCUGUGAUGUGAGGAGCGCCUCUGCCCGGCUGCCCCAUCUGGGAGGUGAGGAGCGCCUCCGCCCGGCCGCCCUGUCUGGGAGGUGAGGAGUGUCUCUGCCCGCCCGCCCAUCAUCUGGGAAGUGAGGAGCGCCUCUGCCCAGCCGCCCAUCGUCUGGGAUGUGAGGAGCGCCUCUGCCCAGCCGCCCAUCGUCUGGGAUGUGAGGAGCGCCUCUGCCUGGCUGCCCCAUCUGGGAAGUGAGAAGCGCCUCUGCCCGGCCAUCUCAUCUGGGAGGUGUACCCAACAGCUCCGAAGAGACAGCGACCAUCGAGAACGGGCCAUGAUGACGAUGGCGCUUUUGUCGAAAAGAAAAGGGGGAAAUGUGGGGAAAAGAAAGAGAGAUCAGAUUGUUACUGUGUCUGGUAGAAAGAAGUAGACAUAGGAGACUCCAUUUUGUUCUGUACUAAGGAAAAUUCUUCUGCUUUGGGAUGCUGUUAAUCUAUAACCUUACCCCCAACCCCGUGCUCUCUGAAACAUGUGCUGUGUCAACUCAGGGUUAAAUGGAUUAAGGGUGGUGCAAGAUGCGCUUUGUUAAACAGAUGCUUGAAGGCAGCAUGCUCGUUAAGAGUCAUCACCACUCCCUAAUCUCAAGUACCCAGGGACACAAACACUGCGGAAGGCCACAGGGACCUCUGCCUAGGAAAACCAGAGACCUCUGUUCACGUGUUUAUCUGCUGACCUUCUAUCCACUAUUAUCCUAUGACCCUGCCACAUACCCCUCUCCGAGAAACACCCAAGAAUGAUCAAUAAAUACUAAAAAAAAAAAAGAAUUUUCCUUUAUAGAUUAUUUUUCUUUUUAACAAAAUUAAAAGGAUUUAGUUAAGCAUAUUUUGGUUCAAACUUUCCAGUUGUUAUAGAAGUGUGAAAAAUGCAAACUGAGCUUGAAGGAAUAUUGAAUAUCUUGUCCAACCCCCGUUAUUUAUAGAUAAGGAAACUGAGGUCCAAAAUGGUAAAAAUUAUUAUUUAACAAAUAAUGUUGCUAGUUAGUGACUAUUACACAGGAUUCUUUCAAUUGCAGGUGGCAGAAAUGCACCUCAAGCUAACUCAACCCAAAAAGGGAAACAGCACAAUUAUUUUCUCCUAUGGGAAAAAGGCAGAGAUGUCCUCAGGCACAACUGAAUCCAGGAAUUAAAUUAGAUCCACCGCUCUCUCUGUAUCUCAUCUCAGCUUCUCUCUGUACGUAGUCCUAAUUUUCUCAGGCUCUCCUGUGCAACAAGGUAUAUGGCUACCAGUAUCUCUAAGGUUGCAACCUUUUAACUGGAAACGUAAAGGAAAGAGAGAAAUUCUAACUAUUAGUCUUUGAACAUCAAAUCCAAAAUAAAUAUUCCGAUUAGCUUCUUUGAGUCAUAUGACCAUCCCAUUAUUUUGGAGGUGGGGUGGAGGUGGCAGGAUAUGUAAUUGGCAGUUCCAGAAAAACCAUCUGGAGUUGGAGAAAGGAAGUUAAGGGAAAUAGGAGCUCACUAUUACUAGCAUGAAGGAAGGGAGGUUGGACAGACAAAAGCAUCUACUGUCCACCAGGGCAGCUGGAGACCCUGAAUUGGAGUUGGGGGUCUUUGAUCUUUCAUUCAAUCAUCUUUUCAUUUCUCUAUUUAUUCAUUCAACACAUAGUUACUGAGCAGUCUAUGAGGAUUGUAUUUAGCUGCAAGCAACAGAAUCUCCAGUCAGUGAUGGCUUGUAUAGCAAAAAGUGUAGAGAUAGGAGUUAACUGUUCACAUUGUUUUCUAACACCAUGUAGUCUCACCGUUUCUCAAGCACACCCUUGCGCUUCCUUGCCCCUGGUCCUUUGUUUGCUCCUCUUCUCUCCAUCUUUACUUGUUAGUCACUUAACCCACAGGGCAAUAUCGUCUCUCCCUGAAGGCUUCCCAAAUCCACUUCUUUCCCACUUUUGUAUAAAUCAGAAUAAAUAUUUCCCAAUUCUGUAUGUAUGUAACACUUUGUUCAAUCAUUAUAACACUGAAUUCAUUCUGCCAUGUGUUAAAAUUAAUUUGUUGCAUAUGUAUCGA